GACGGAGGAUGCAAGUGUUAUCCGGAAUCACUGGGCGUAAAGCGUCUGUAGGUGGUUCAAUAAGUCAACUGUUAAAUCUUGAGGCUCAACUUCAAAAUCGCAGUCGAAACUAUUGGACUCGAGUAUAGUAGGGGUAAAGGGAAGUUUCCAGUGGAGCGGUGAAAUGCGUAGAGAUUGGAAAGAACACCAACGGCGAAAGCACUCUCGCGUGGGCCGACACUGACACUGAGAGACGAAAGCUAGGGGAGCGAAUGGG
rnacentral:rRNA from 1 species